AAAUAUUUUCAUAAAAUUGUAUUUAGUUUUUAAUAUUAAUUUUAAAAAAGAUAAUUCUAAAGAUUUUGUUCCGUUUUUGUCAAGGGGUACAAAAAUCGUCCAAAUGAAAUCGAGGAACGAGAGACCCUUAUAACAUUCUUCUUCUAAAUUUAUAAUUGUGUUUCGUGUUCCGCAUCAGAUUUCAAACACUAUCCAUCGUCUUGUUGAAAAUACGGAUUUCGGUCCAUUUUAGUCGAGUGGUACGAAAAUCGCCCGAAAAGUCCAGAUGAAAUCGAGGACCCGGAGACCCUUAUAGAAUUCUUCUCUAAAAUUUAUAACUGUGUUUCGGAUUCCACGUCAGAUUUCAAACACUAG
rnacentral:lncRNA from 1 species